rnacentral:rRNA from 1 species
GACGAACGCUGGCGGCGUGCCUAAUACAUGCAAGUCGAACGCUUCUUUCCUCCCGAGUGCUUGCACUCAAUUGGAAAGAGGAGUGGCGGACGGGUGAGUAACACGUCGGUAACCUACCCAUCAGAGGGGGAUAACACUUGGAAACAGGUGCUAAUACCGCAUAACAUUUUAUGCCGCAUGGCAUAAGAGUGAAAGGCGCUUUCGGGUGUCGCUGAUGGAUGGACCCGCGGUGGAUUAGAUAGUUGGUGAGGUAACGGCUCACCAAGGCGACGAUGCAUAGACGACCUGAGAGGGUGAUCGGCCACACUGGGACUGGGACACGGCCCAGACUCCUACGGGAGGCAGCAGUAGGGAAUCUUCGGCAAUGGACGAAAGUCUGACCGAGCAACGCCGCGUGAGUGAAGAAGGUUUUCGGAUCGUAAAACUCUGUUGUUAGAGAAGAACAAGGACGUUAGUAACUGAACGUCCCCUGACGGUAUCUAACCAGAAAGCCACGGCUAACUACGUG